rnacentral:lncRNA from 1 species
AAAUUACAGAGCAUAUGAGCAUCAUCAAGUAAUGAAGAAGCUUUGGAUGGUUAGGGUACUCUCUAAAAUCAUGGUUUAUUUGGUUUGAGGUGUUGGACGUGAGGGAUCCGUUCGGAUCUGGUCUCCUUUAGAUCUUGAACUGUUUUUCCGGCAUCUAGGUUCGAUUUUAUGGGCGAGAAUAUGGAACCUAUGAUUCUGGUGGUUUGAUUUUUGAUUACACGGAUGGCUUGAUUCUGUGUGUUUCCGAUCUGUCUUUUAUGCUUUACUAUUUAUCUAUGAUUUUCUUUUUAGACGCUUCCUCAGUUUCUUUAACUUGUGUUUGUUCAUCUUUUUCUUCCUCUUCUUCUUCACGCUGUCAG